rnacentral:snRNA from 1 species
ACACGUACCUGGUGCAAAGGCCUCGUUGUUCACCGAGGACGAGCCAGCAGGGCGAGGCGCGAGCAUUGCACUGCGAUCGCGUUGACCCCUGCCACUACCCCAAACUGGAGCAGAUGGGGCAUGCAAAUUGCUUAAACCCGGUUCAACGCAAGAGAGGGCGCCACCGUC